rnacentral:rRNA from 1 species
ACGGAAGGCAGCAGUGGGGAAUAUUGCGCAAUGGAGGCAACUCUGACGCAGCAACGCCGCGUGAGUGAUGAAGGUUUUCGGAUUGUAAAGCUCUGUCUUUGAGGACGAAUAAAUGACGGUACUCAAGGAGGAAGCCCCGGCUAACUACGUGCCAGCAGCCGCGGUAAUACGUAGGGGGCAAGCGUUGUCCGGAAUCACUGGGCGUAAAGGGCAUGCAGGCGGCCUGUUAAGUCAGAAGUGAAAUCUUGGGGCUCAACCCCAAAAGUGCUUCUGAUACUGUCAGGCUUGAGUCUCGGAGGGGUAACCGGAAUUCCUAGUGUAGCGGUGAAAUGCGUAGAGAUUAGGAAGAACACCAGCGGCGAAGGCGGGUUACUGGACGAGUACUGACGCUCAUAUGCGAAAGCGUGGGGAGCAAACAGGAUUAGAUACCCUGGUA